GGACUGAUAGCUCAGCAGGUCUAGAGCGUUGGUGGCAUAUUGCGGCCCCGAACAUCGAGAACUACGCUCGCUUAGUAGGGGGCGCACGAACCAAAGGGCGUUGGUUCAAAUCCAACUCAGUCCA